UACGUAGGGGCAAGCGUUGUCCGGAAUUACUGGGCGUAAAGGGUGCGUAGGUGGUUUCUUAAGUCAGAGGUGAAAGGCUACGGCUCAACCGUAGUAAGCCUUUGAAACUGGGAAACUUGAGUGCAGGAGAGGAGAGUGGAAUUCCUAGUGUAGCGGUGAAAUGCGUAGAUAUUAGGAGGAACACCAGUUGCGAAGGCGGCUCUCUGGACUGUAACUGACACUGAGGCACGAAAGCGUGGGGAGCAAACAGGAUUAGAUACCCCUGUAGUCCCUGAG
rnacentral:rRNA from 1 species